CAUCAAGCCUGCCCUCCCCAGUCGGCUCUGGGCAGCAUGGCAACAGCUGGGGCCUGGCCCCCUUAGUCCCGGGUCUGAGCAACUUCCAAGCCUGUGAAUAGCGUUGGGCUUCUCUCCAGAAGGUCACGGGCAGACUCUGCUGCAAGGGACAGAUAGACAACACUCUGAUCUGGAAGCCCACAGACAUGAAGCUGACGGUGACAGAAUGAGCACCUGGGAAGAAGAACAAUUAAGAACUCCAUUUACAAAGGCUGGAGAGAUGGAUCAGAGGUUAAGAGCACUGACUGCUCUUCCAGAGGUCCUGAGUUCAAUUCCCAGCAACCACAUGGUGGCUCACAGCCAUCUGUUAUGAGAUCUGGUGCCCUCUUCUGGUGUACAGAUCUACAUGGAAGCAGAAUGUUGUAUACAUAAUAAAUAAAUAAAAUCUUUAAAAAAAAAAAUAAAAAUAAAUCUUUAAAAAUUUAAAUAAAACAAAUAAAUCUUUAAGAAUAUAAUGAAAAUAUGGGCAUUGGUGGCGCACUCCUUUAAUCCCAGCACUCAGGAGGC
rnacentral:lncRNA from 1 species